UGGCGAACGGGUGAGUAACACGUGGGCAAUCUGCCCUGCACUCUGGGAUAAGCCUGGGAAACUGGGUCUAAUACUGGAUAUGACCUUUCUCCUUAUGGGGUUUGGUGGAAAGUUUUUCGGUGUAGGAUGAGCCCGCGGCCCAUCAGCUUGUUGGUGGGGUGAUGGCCUACCAAGGCGACGACGGGUAGCCGGCCUGAGAGGGUGAUCGGCCACAUUGGGACUGAGAUACGGCCCAG
rnacentral:rRNA from 1 species